AAUCGUACCCCAAACCGACACAGGUGGUCAGGUAGAGAAUACCAAGGCGCUUGAGAGAACUCGGGUGAAGGAACUAGGCAAAAUGGUGCCGUAACUUCGGGAGAAGGCACGCUGACAUGUAGGUGAAGCCCCUGCGGGUGGAGCUGAAGUCAGUCGAAGAUACCAGCUGGCUGCAACUGUUUAUUAAAAACACAGCACUGUGCAAACACGAAAGUGGACGUAUACGGUGUGACGCCUGCCCGGUGCCGGAAGGUUAAUUGAUGGGGUUAUCGCAAGAGAAGCUCCUGAUCGAAGCCCCGGUAAACGGCGGCCGUAACUAUAACGGUCCUAAGGUAGCGAAAUUCCUUGUCGGGUAAGUUCCGACCUGCACGAAUGGCGUAAUGAUGGCCAGGCUGUCUCCACCCGAGACUCAGUGAAAUUGAACUCGCUGUGAAGAUGCAGUGUACCCGCGGCAAGACGGAAAGACCCCGUGAACCUUUACUACAGCUUGACACUGAACAUUGAGCCUUGAUGUGUAGGAUAGGUGGGAGGCUUUGAAGCGUGGACGCCAGUCUGCGUGGAGCCGACCUUGAAAUACCACCCUUUAAUGUUUGAUGUUCUAACCUGGCGCCGUGAUCCGGCGUGGGGACAGUGUCUGGUGGGUAGUUUGACUGGGGCGGUCUCCUCCCAAAGUGUAACGGAGGAGCACGAAGGUCAGCUAAUCCUGGUCGGACAUCAGGAGGUUAGUGCAAUGGCAUAAGCUGGCUUGACUGCGAGAGUGACGGCUCGAGCAGGUGCGAAAGCAGGUCAUAGUGAUCCGGUGGUUCUGUAUGGAAGGGCCAUCGCUCAACGGAUAAAAGGUACUCCGGGGAUAACAGGCUGAUACCGCCCAAGAGUUCAUAUCGACGGCGGUGUUUGGCACCUCGAUGUCGGCUCAUCACAUCCUGGGGCUGAAGUAGGUCCCAAGGGUAUGGCUGUUCGCCAUUUAAAGUGGUACGCGAGCUGGGUUUAGAACGUCGUGAGACAGUUCGGUCCCUAUCUGCCGUGGGCGCUGGAGAAUUGAGGGGGGCUGCUCCCAGUACGAGAGGACCGGAGUGGACGCAUCACUGGUGUUCGGGUUGUCAUGCCAAUGGCACUGCCCGGUAGCUAAAUGCGGAAGAGAUAAGUGCUGAAAGCAUCUAAGCACGAAACUUGCCCCGAGAUGAGUUCUCCCUGAGACUAUAAGUCUCCUGAAGGAACGUUGAAGACGACGACGUUGAUAGGCCGGGUGUGUAAGCGCAGCGAUGCGUUGAGCUAACCGGUACUAAUGAACCGUGAGGCUUAACC
rnacentral:rRNA from 1 species